rnacentral:rRNA from 1 species
GGACAGUAUGGGAGAGAGAAUGUUGGCAUGAGUAGCGAGAUGUGAGUGAGAAUACCACAGGCCGUAAACCCAAGGUGUCCAGGGGAAGGUUCGUCCGCCCGGGGGUAGUCGGGACCUAAGCUGAGGCCGAAAGGCUUAGCGGAUGGACAACAGGUGGAUAUUCCUGUACUACCGAUAACCGUUUGAGAGAAGGGAUGACACAGUAGGAUAAGCUAAGCACACUGUUGGUUAUGUGUGCCCAAGCAUUGAGGCAGUCAAAGUAGGCAAAUCCGCUUUGAUAAUGCUGGGAUGUGAUGGGGAGCGAAAUUUAGUAGCGAAGUAGCUGAUUUCACACUGUCAAGAAAAGUCUCUAUCGAGGU